CGCUCUGUAGCUUGGAGGAUAGAAGCGCCCGUCUUGCAAAUUGGGAGUUAUGGGUUCGAUUCCCACCGGAGCAC
rnacentral:tRNA from 1 species